rnacentral:rRNA from 1 species
AGUGAACGCUGGCGGUAGGCCUAACACAUGCAAGUCGAACGGCAGCACAGUAAGAGCUUGCUCUUACGGGUGGCGAGUGGCGGACGGGUGAGGAAUACAUCGGAAUCUACUUUUUCGUGGGGGAUAACGUAGGGAAACUUACGCUAAUACCGCAUACGACCUACGGGUGAAAGCAGGGGAUCUUCGGACCUUGCGCGAUUCAAUGAGCCGAUGUCGGAUUAGCUAGUUGGCGGGGUAAAGGCCCACCAAGGCAACGAUCCGUAGCUGGUCUGAGAGGAUGAUCAGCCACACUGGAACUGAGACACGGUCCGGACUCCUACGGGAGGCAGCAGUGGGGAAUAUUGGACGAUGGGCGCAAGCCUGAUCCAGCCAUACCGCGUGGGUGAAGAAGGCCUUCGGGUUGUAAAGCCCUUUUGUUGGGAAAGAAAAGCAGCAGGUUAAUACCCCGCUGUUCUGACGGUACCCAAAGAAUAAGCACCGGCUAACUUCGUG